rnacentral:sRNA from 1 species
CAUCAAGUGGAAUCCAACUGUUAAGGAGCCUGUGGUCUGUAGGGCAGAUAGACAAAUGUAACCUUUUCUCACCACCUGAUGAUAAGCAACACCGGAUUUCAAGACUUCUGUCCCCUCCCAUGUGGACCUUCUCAGAAGCCUGCAGAACUUUAUUAUAUGACCCUGUUACUGAAGAUACCGUACACAUUGGUCACUGCAAUGGAGGAAUCAAACUGGUACUGAUCAGGAAACUUCCUCCCUGCUGCAAAGCUUUCAUACUACUAGAAGGUAUCAUGACUGCUGUUGAGUGGGGAAGAAACUCAGUGGCUGUCAUAUCCAGCUGUGAACUUCGUGAAGUACUAUGAUGACCAGCAUGGUGCGAUGCCCAUCGGUCCAAGAGUGGCAUGUAUACUAUAGGAAUAACCUGCUUGGAUUUAAGAACUGCUCCACAGAACGCAAACAUUUCUGGUACAUUAAAUCUGGCCCAAAUCCCAAGGUUGGAGAUCACAUAGGCCCCAGAGGCUGAGUAUACCGAAGGAUAUCAGUCUUACUUAAGUGACCCCAGUGGAUUAUAUUAACUGGCUGUGAGGUCCAGCAAAAGUUCCCGUAUCUUAGAGUCAUGCAGAUAUGUCUCUGGAGGUUUCCUUUGAGGAACUCACCAAUUACUUACAUCUAUCACCACGAAGACAGAAUUCAACAUGAAUGAGGGUGUAUGUGGUCCAUGCUGCAUCCUGCUGCUAUUGCAGUGCCGUGCCAUCGAUGACUGCAGAAUCAUAAUGAGAAUGAAAGACAUUGAAGGCUUCUGUGACAACCUCUCCUCCCAAACAACAAC